UAUAAAAGUAUAGGGCACAGUUGGAAUGAGCCAGAUGGGAUGCUAUCGGUCAUUUAAAAGACUAACGCGCUUUUUGUCUCCGUCUGGAAAUGUCGCUUCUGCCUGACCUUGUGAACUUGCCUGCCGCGUGAUCUCAACAAUUCCCUCUUACAGCUCCCCGAACACCCCUCCACAUCGUUGUGCUCAUUUGUACAGGCUAUUACCGAAGCAGGAAGUGACAUCAACGGGUCCAAACUAAAAAAUAUGUCGCAGGACGGGCUGACUAUGAUGUCCAGGACCGGUGUUUGUAAAGGAGGAUGGCUCGCACCGGCUCCACAAAGUGAUGCUCAUUGAAGGAUGCAAGAGAGCGCCACACAGGCGAGACAGACAGAUGCACUGGAGGCUGAGCUCUCUAUCAUGGCUGUCUCCAGGAUGUAGUGCUGUCUGCUAUCCAGUUAUGGCUGAGGUCCUCUUGUUCCUCCGUCUCAUCUAUCUCUAUCCCUGCAGCUCCUGGCUAUCUUCACCCUCUAUGGCUCCUUCAUGAUGGCCCCCUAAUCUCUGCCAGUGUGGUUCCAUGUAUGCAUUGCAGGCGGCUGUGUAAUCAAGCCUGUGAACUCAACAUCUGAAGGAAGGAUUCUGUUUCUGAUCACAUCCCUAUUGAAGUCCAUCCAUUCGCUGAACAUGGAUGUGUUGACACGCCACCAAUUCCUUGGGAAUAAUCCUGUGUUGGAGGUAUCUGGAAGAGGCAAAAAUCCAUCGCCUGUGCAACAACAGAGUUUCCUAUAGUUCCUUUAUUAAAGUGGAAUAUGGCCCGAGAAUAUACCGCGUCCGAGGGGGCCAUGAAUAAUGCCAAGGAGGAGCCCAGGAGGGGACGCCACGCCCUCUCUCCAGCUGUACUGUUUCUCUCUGCCAGCAGCCUGCACAGUGAGGCCAUCAAGCCAUUAAUGAGUCCCAGCACUGAUAAUGAAGCCACAGAGGUGGUCUGAGCAAGUGUGGCAGAGGAGCUGGAGCACAGGAGGAAGGUAGAUUAGGAUAAUUACCUGGCCACGGGGGAACGAUGAGAAAGAUGUCUCGCUACCUGCAGGCCUCGAUCGAAGGAGAAAGUGCAAUAUAAUGAGGUUUCCUCCACAACCCUCGCAUGUGCUGUCCUGUACUGUACGUAUGUGUUUAUAUGUUGUUUAUGUAGCUGUGCUGUAGGGUUUCUCACACAUACUGUACGUAAGUCCUAAAUAUCCACACUCACGGAGACUUUGAAGAGCCUAUGAGGUCAGGUUUUAAAUUAUGGUCUGCACCCACUCCAAGCUUUCUCUCCCCACUCCUGUAAAUCCAUUUUCCACACAAUGCAUUUCAAAUCAAAGCAGCGUCGCCAUACGAGGCCUUAGGAAACAUUUAGCCAUAGUGCAGUACUUUCAUGUAUGAUAGCAUAGCCCCUGUGUGCUUUGAUGUGCUCACUUUUUUUAAUGCUUUAUUAAUAAUAACACACUGGGUCUUUCUCACACCAGCAUCAGCUACUGGUGCUCUUUUCUCCUGAACUACACCCCUCACUCCUUCCAUGCCUCAGCUCCUUCAUCCCUCCCCAGCCCCUGAGCCUUGUCUCAGGAUUGGCCUGUUUGUGUUUGGGAGGGGGAUUAGAGUGAAUGACAUGGGCCUGGAGAUGAAGAGAGUGACAAAGACCUAUCAGAGGGCAGAAAGUACGGAGCGCUGCGUCACCAUUGGUUGCAGUGGAAAUCAGACACGUCUUCAUUUCUUCCAGCCAUCCUCUCGGCAUAGCCCCGCUUUCAUUUCCACGCCCGGGGAGGGAAGCAGGGUGAGAAAGAGAGGGGGGGGGGG